ensembl:lncRNA
AUGGCGGAGCAAAAGGAAAAGGGAGCGAGCACGCUGCAGAAAGAGCCGGUCAAACAGAGUAUUGCUGGAAGAGGGAGCCUGCUUUCCUCCUUGAUGGAGAGGUUUGAGUCCAUGGCCACUGUUUGCACGAGAUGUGACUUGAAAUGUUCACCUGAAAAGCCGCCUGCAGGAGUCAAGGUGACCGGAAGCGUGAGACAGAGAGUACCGUGUCAUGAGAGUAAGCUCCAGCAAGCGCCAACGCAAACUGCCCACAGACGACACCACCGCAAGCAGCUGAAAAGUACAUCCCUGAUGGGAAAUCAAACUACAAAUGGGCAGGAACAAAAACAACAGCAGGCAGAGGCCGCUUUAGAAAAAAUCAACUCAAACCUGGAAGAAAAGAAAUGUUUAAAAGCAGCGCAAAUGAGACAAAACCGCAGCCAGUCGGCCUCGGAUCAACAUUCUGACACUCACUGCUCAUUAAACCUCAGGAAAGAUCAACCUCGUGAUAGCGAUGUUAUUGGUCGGAGGGCGGACGAACGUGGUGAAAUUCACACCAGAGGAGAAGAAACUAGCAUGAGACACAAUCUCAAACAUGCACAUCUAGAGCUGCUGUGUUCAACGUGCGUCACCGAGCAGUCGCUCCCCGAGCCUCACAGACUUUCCCCACAGGUAGAAGCCCACGUCACGUGUCAUGUGGCGACCGUCGUGACCUGCAGUCCUGUGUGGUCCACGUGUGUAGAUUCCUCUCCUGCACUACAUUCUCUUCAGAGAAGGUCGCCAAAGUACGUCAUCCCAUGCGAGUGUAAAUUUGAACGAGACGUCGAGGAUUCCUCCCCUCGGCCGGCGUUGCACACUGGAACUGAGACUCCUUCGGUUGCGGUGCCACCGUCACAAUACGACGCUUCUAUCAUGGCUUUCAUUGCAGGAUCGGCUGCAAGGGGGAUUAUUAGUUGUCCUCCUGAUAACAUGAAGGCGCAAACCCCGACAAGGACAAAAGAGAUAGCAACGCACGCUCAAUCGCAUGAACAAGACAGGGAGGUCGGUAAGGCAGGAGACAAAGUAAAUACAAUGGAAAUAAAAGACACAAGUGCGUUGCAAUGUUUUAAACCUCCCGAGGUCACUGCCUGUGAGGCUGCAUUUGAAGAGGGAGAGACGUCUGCCGUGACAUCACCGGAGAUCCAGCGUGAGAGAGACAAUGCAAAGCAGAGACCAAAAUACAAAACAAUCAACUACGGGGAUCCUUCAGUCAAGCAAACAUUUAAACCCAAAGUCAUUCGGUUUACCGACACCUUUACUUUCUAG